rnacentral:lncRNA from 1 species
UACCUUCAUAUACUAAAUAUUCAAAACUAUGUAACAUCAAAGACUUUUAUGAAGCAAACAUCCAUAAUGCGCAUGCACUUUAAAUCUAUGAUUGUAUUUACCAUCCAGUGCAAUUGAAAAAUGCAUCAUAUUGACACACCUUAUAAAUGUAGCUUACCUUUUUCGAAACAAGUUAAUUACGAAUACCACCUGAUCUUAUCCACAUCUAUACCAGAACAAAUUCCCAAUACAAUAUCAGGACCCCAGGCACAGAAGAGGCCAGUGAACAGGAACACAGGUUAGUUGCACAAUCUUGGCUCCAUAUUCUAAAACCACCAAUUCAAUGUCCUAAUAAAUCCUGUAUUACUAAGGACUGUAGUCCUGGAAGACCAGAUUUUAACCAGUGUGAUCACCAGGUUUCAGCCCUUUAAGAUAACUCGAUAAUUUUUUAAAGGAAAUGUCAGCGAUUACCUCCCCUACAUUUGCACUUUACAGUAUGUUAUUGAGACAGCUGGCAAGGGAUUAACAUGACACCUUCAACUCGCACUCUAUUUUUCCACCAACUGACUAAGAGACCAUCAUGAUAAGAUUGGAAGUCUUUAUCAAAACAUUAUCACCAAAAGGAUUUCAAGAAUGAUGAGACUAAAUUUCUAUGAAUAUGUCCAUGAGAACUGACCUAAUUUUGUUCAUAUUUACAGAAAAAUAUUUCAGUCAGAUGAUCACUAUCCUUGCUAGUUUGUUGAAAACAUCCACUUAUUCUCCAACACUUUCACCAAAAUUAAAGAAAUGCCCUCCGAUUUAAUGAGGAUAGAAAUGUUUCGUGUGCUAGUGCCAUCUUAAAGAUCCAAGUAAACUGCUGGAAAUAUCCUUUUAUAAUGUCUUCACAAACUUCUCUCACUUUUCACUGUACACAGUCGAUACAUCACACCAAGAGAUGAAGGCAAUGUUGAACAGAGUGAAAUGCAGAAUCAACGACGGAUGUCCAGACAGCCCGUACCGUAAGACAGCCCGUAACUGGACAAGAUGGGAAGCAGGUUGCAACACAACCAUGAGUGAGCUGGUGAGACUGUGGGUGUCCAGGGCCCAGUAUUUCCUGCACAGCUGGAAGGAAUUGACUCAGAAAUGACUUCCAACGUAACUAUGAAACAUCAGAAUACAUCGUCUGGAGUGGCGUUGUUUUGUGGAUACUGCCGUUAUUGUUCCCAAGGAGCAAUGUUUUGGGGCUAACUCUGGAGCUUAAUGCAGAUCUGAUGGUACCAGCUGAUGCAGAAAUGUUUGACUGAGACACCAGAAGACCGACCACAUUCCAGACUGUUCAGGAUGAGCACAAGCCUCGAUCCGAUCGAACAUAUCCACAUUGUGACCACUUCUGAGCAAUGUUGAUAGUAGUUGAUCAAGUUGUGAUUUGCUCAUUUAGGACAAUACCUUCCCAUGCAGAACAUUGCCAUACAAACUGUUCAGGGAUCAACUAUAUCAUGAGCUGGAAGACAUCAUCCCUUUUCUAUGGAUGAUACCUUUGUAAUUUUGUGGAAUGACUGUCAUGUCAGUUGAUUUUGCUAUUUUAUAGUGCUUACAUGUAAUUUGUUUCAUACAACCUUUGUAAUCAAAGCAAAGUGACAUUUUUACUUGUGUUUUUUAUGUUUACAAGUUCAUAUGGCUUUUGAUAAAUAAAAGCUAAGCUUUGUAUGUA